rnacentral:rRNA from 1 species
GUGGGGAGCAAACAGGAUUAGAUACCCUGGUAGUCCACGCCCUAAACGAUGUCGACUAGUUGUUGGGGGCUAUAUGCCCUUAGUAACGCAGCUAACGCGUGAAGUCGACCGCCUGGGGAGUACGGCCGCAAGGUUAAAACUCAAAGGAAUUGACGGGGACCCGCACAAGCGGUGGAUGAUGUGGUUUAAUUCGAUGCAACGCGAAGAACCUUACCUACCCUUGACAUGUACCGAACCCUGCAGAGAUGUGGGGGUGCUCGAAAGAGAGCGGUAACACAGGUGCUGCAUGGCUGUCGUCAGCUCGUGUCGUGAGAUGUUGGGUUAAGUCCCGCAACGAGCGCAACCCUUGCCACUAAUUGCCACCAUUCAGUUGGGCACUUUAGUGGGACUGCCGGUGACAAACCGGAGGAAGGUCGGGACGACGUCAAGUCCUCAUGGCCCUUAUGGGUAGGGCUACACACGUCAUACAAUGGCGCAUACAGAGGGUCGCCAACCCGCGAGGGGGAGCUAAUCUCAGAAAGUGCGUCGUAGUCCGGAUUGCUCUCUGCAACUCGAGAGCAUGAAGUCGGAAUCGCUAGUAAUCGCGGAUCAGAAUGCCGCGGUGAAUACGUUCCCGGGUCUUGUACACACCGCCCGUCACACCAUGGGAGUGGGUUUCACCAGAAGCAGCUAGCCUAACCGCAAGGAGGGCGGCUACCACGGUGAGAUUCAUGACUGGGGUG